UACGGAGGAUGCAAGCGUUAUCCGGAAUGAUUGGGCGUAAAGCGUCCGCAGGUGGCGAUGUAAGUCUGCUGUUAAAGAGUGAGGCUCAACCUCAUAAGAGCAGUGGAAACUACAUAGCUAGAGUACGUUCGGGGCAGAGGGAAUUCCUGGUGUAGCGGUGAAAUGCGUAGAUAUCAGGAAGAACACCGGUGGCGAAAGCGCUCUGCUAGGCCGCAACUGACACUGAGGGACGAAAGCUAGGGGAGCGAAUGGG
rnacentral:rRNA from 1 species